CAGCCGCCGCGGUAAUACGAAGGGGGCUAGCGUUGUUCGGAUUUACUGGGCGUAAAGCGCACGUAGGCGGAUCGAUCAGUCAGGGGUGAAAUCCCAGAGCUCAACUCUGGAACUGCCUUUGAUACUGUCGAUCUGGAGUAUGGAAGAGGUGAGUGGAAUUCCGAGUGUAGAGGUGAAAUUCGUUGAUAUUCGGAGGAACACCAGUGGCGAAGGCGGCUCACUGGUCCAUUACUGACGCUGAGGUGCGAAAGCGUGGGGAGCAAACAGGAUUAGAUACCCCCGUAGUCCCUGUCUCUUAUAA
rnacentral:rRNA from 1 species